rnacentral:lncRNA from 10 species
CCCGGUACCUCAGAUGGAAACGCAGAAAUCACCCGUUUUUCUGCGUCGCUCACGCUGGGAGCUGUAGACAUGAGCUGUUCCUAUUCGGCCAUCUUGGCUCCUCCCCACGAAGAUGGUGAAUUAGAGGCUUUUAGCAUGUCUUAGCCACUUGGAAAUUCAUAAAGAUAAACUCUGUGAGCUUUAAUUUAAGAAGAAAAAUGGGAAAUCCACAAGAAUUGUGAAGGACACCUCAGAUCCCAGGAAGGAGAAUUCAGGCAAAAAGCCCCCAUGCUGGCAUCAGGCGGAUAAGGAUUUCAGUCAAGGAGAUGCCUACCUGGGGACAGAAUCUGGAAAAGACCUCAAAAUAGAUCUUCUCAAGGCACCCGGAGGCAAACGAGGCAUAGACACACUAGGAUAAAAGCUGUCUUCAAGUCAGAGCCCUCCCUAGGGCUCCAGGCAGAGCAAAGGACCAGAUCUCCCCCUCUGCACUCCCCACCUACAGAUGAGCACCCAGGCAGGGGACACUCAAAGCAGGUGAAUGAGACAGGGGGGGCAUGCAGAAGCCUUGAUCUCCGAGUGGUCUGUGGCCGUGAGGUGGAGAGAUACAACUGCUUUGUCGAGGACCCAAGGGAAAACCGAGCCGUGGCUGUCUGAGUCUUAUCAAAGGAAAAACGAUUGGUGCCUGGCACAUUACAGGCCCUCAAUGUCUACCAGUUGGAUGACUGAAAGUGACUGGGGCAUCCGCCUGUCAUGGGUACGAAAGCCAGCUUCACCAUUCUCUACCAGCUUGCUCCAGGAGUCAAUGUUCUGGGUGGCUCACAGGAAUUAAUCAUGGCAGUAACACCAUGAGCAGGGUCACUGUGAACUGUUAUGCAGGCAUGUUCUGCGGAAAGGGUCCACUUGGCUGAGAGGCAUGCUUCUUGCCGAAUCAUGAGUGCAGGUGUGGAGCUGUGUCCACUUGGAGGAAGGAAGACCUUUUGCUAAUGCAUAUCCAGGUGAUGUAUUAACUGGCAGCAGCCCAGCCUGCUUAUGAGGUUGGUAAUAGUGUAUUCUGACUUUCAUUUUAGAGUUAAACAACAUGAGACCUAAGAGAGUUUAGGUAAAUCACUCAGAAAUAUUCAGGUUUUGAGCAGAAGAGAGAUUUGAACUCAGGCAGUCUGCCUUCAGCUCAGGCUUUUGACCAUAAAACUAUCCUGCCUGGCUUGAUCCUUACAACAACCUACUAGAAAGGGAAGCCAUUUCUGUUUCACAGAUGGGAGAUUUAAGGCUCCAAAAGUCAAGGAACUUGCUAAAAAAUUAAGAGAUUCAGGUAUUGAAUGGCAGUAGGAUUUUUUCCCAUACCUGUCUAAUUCCAAAGCCUAUUUGCUUUUAACUGUAAACUAUCUCUUCUCCAUCAGUAGUCUAAGAAGUUCUCUAUCACUGAAAGCAUGCAAGAAGAGGCUAUAUGUCACGAUUGCUAGGAGAGAUUAAUGCAUCAGCUGAGAACUGUAAUUUAGUGUCCCUUUACCUUGAAAAUUCUAUAAAUAGGACUGGCCACGAAAGCUUUCUGGGUUGCUCCAUCCUUGCUCCGCUUGAUUCCUCAUGUUCAGAAGUAAGAUCAAGACAAGAAGUUCCCUUCCAUGGAAACAAAUAUCCAAAGCUGAGAAAGGCACGGAGAUGUAGACAGGACAUUUGCUUUACCUUUUAUUACUUACCUGCUCUGGGCUAGGGCAUUCAGGGGCCCUCAGAGUCUCACUGGGUUCCUAUUAACUGCCUGUUGCGUACAAUGGGCUUUGGAAAACACCCUUCCUUCUGGGAAAUCUUCCCAAACCUGCAAAAACUAUUUUGCUGACCUCCCAAUGGAAUUAUAUAGAAGAUAAUUUAAAAUAAAAUGUCUAACUCUGUGUGUCAGACUCACCAGUGUAGCCCUGGAAGGUUUAUGAGGACAGAGGGGAAAGAGGCUGGGCUACAAAGACCAGAAUAUUCUGGAGGCAUCGACACACCCUGGUUUCCUUUCCUGCCUCUAUCACUCUCUGGUUCUGAUUCCAACUCUCCUUAACUCUGAUGUAGAGCCUGGGAUUCCUUUGGAAUCGAGUACUCAUGCUCACCCACCCACACUAAUGGGAUGUGCUUCUUUAACCCUCCAGAUUUCAAAGGCACUGUCACUACCAGAAAAAUCCUGCCUCUGCCCCCAAAAUUCUGUCCCAACACAACUUAGCAGUUGAUGCGGUACAACGCAGGCUGGUCAACCAAUGGCACCAAUGGUACUGUUCAUCCCAGAAGGACACUGAGUUUGAGACCCAGCUCUACAAUUGAUCGAUUAGUAGCAUGACCUUGGGCAAGUGGCCUGAAACUAAGCCUCAGUUUCCUCAUCAGUAACAAAGAAAAAUAUUAUCUCCUGGGGUUAUAUUAAGAAUUCAAUGACCAACAUCAAAGACUACAGAAUUUCAGUUAGACAGAAGAAAUGCAUUUUUGAGAUCAAUUGCACAGCAUGAUGACUGCAGUCCCCAGUCUGACCACCUCUCACCACCUCCACAGCUCCAAGCUAACCUAGUCACUGUCAUCUUACCUGGAGUAUAUAAUAUAACAGCCUCUUCCCUGGUCUCUCUGCCCCAACCUGUGGAGGAAUUUGAGAGUGAAGCUCUCCCCUUGUAAGGAAGAGCAUGUCUAUGUCUCUAUACAGUUCCCCAUUUCACCCAGAAUCAAAGCCACAGCCUGGAAGUGGUGCAGAGAGCCUCACAGGCUGUGCCCACCCCCAUUUCCUCUUAAUCUCCUCUCUUACUCUCUCCUUCACUCACUCUACUCUAGCCACAGGGAGCUCCUUGCUGCGUCUCAAAACACACCAGGCACACUCCAUCCAAGCUCCUUUGUGAGAGCUUUCCCUCUGCUUCAAUUUCCCCAGAUAUCACUGUGGUUCAUUCUGCCCCCUUCACAUUUUUCAUCUUAUGCCAUCAGCUGCAAGGUGUCGUCCUACCACCCUAUUCACAACUGCAACCCUCUCUCACUCUCAGCACUCCAAUUUCUACAACCCUGUCCUUUUAUUGAUUUCCCAUUUUCAUUAGCAUUUAUCACAUUCAAGCAUAUUAUCUAACUUAAUCUAAUCUAACUUAUUUAUCAUGUUUAUUAUUUAUUGUCUCUCUCUCCGUUAGGAUAUAAGCUGCUACAGGGCAGGGCUUUUUGUCUAUCCUGUUCCCUGAUGGAUCCCAAGUGCCUGAUCCAGUGCCUUGCACAGAGUCUCUCAGGCUGCCCUCACCCCUGGGGGAAGUGGGGGAUGAAUUUGGCAGAGCUGGCCUCAGGAGGUGGAUGGCCUUGCUUCAGAGGCUCUCUGUCAAAACUCUUUCUACUGCUCAAUCAUCUUCCUGGGAAAAAAUAUCAGAUGGCAGGAUCGAGAGGGAGCAGUGUUGCCUGGACAGUGUGGGAAGUAAAUGGCACAGUAUGGGAUUAAAGAAGGAUAUUUGGUAAGUCCUGAACUUGUGUCCCACAAUCAGUUUUCCUCAGACAGGACAAUAAGACACUGCAGGCCUCAGAAGGAUCAAAGUAAAUCAGCCAUGCCUAGCAUAUACUGAAACCAUAUCUGCAAGUUCUGAAGAUCAUGGAACACACAGAAUGUUUGUUGAAUUCAUAUCAAGAUGAAUGAAAAUAAGCGUGGAAAAGAAACUAAGAAGUGAUUAUUCUGUUGUUUUCCAAGCUGGGCAAACCACAUGUGUAGCAAGGCUGGCAUUUGUCCUGAAUCACUAUGUUUCCAGGACCACAGACACCCAGGAGUAUAGUCAGAAGUAGGUACGUGGAUCUCAAAACAAUGUUAUAAGAAAGCUUGAAGGAAUGGAGAACAUUUAGCCCAGGAGAGCAUCCAUGGGACAUGACUAUUAUUUUCAGAAAAUGGAAGGCUCUUGAUGUAGGGCAGGGAAUCACAAUUGUUUUGUAUGGCCUCAAGGAGCACUGGAGCCAUGCAUGUGAAUUGCAUUUUAGCUUAGAAUUUAAACUUCGGAAAACAUUCUAAUAAUAGAGCUUUUAAAUAUAGAAUAGGCAGACUCAGUAGGAAGUCAGCCAUCUACAAGUAAAGGUCUUCAGCAUGUGCUCUAUCAGGUGACAGAUUCAAAAGUUAGUCUGGAUUACCUUUAAAGGAAAAAAUUAUUUGAUUCUAUGAAAGGGGGGAGAAAAGUCACUAUAUUAGUUGGAGUAAGGGCUCCAUAACAGAGACUCAACAAUUCAAUCACAUAAAGGGCCAGGAAAUUGAUGACUCUCUCCCAGAACACUGCAAGGCAGGUAGGCAGCCUCUGCUUCAUAAAACCAUCAUGGGAACCAGGCUGGGGUGGGAGAACCUCAAUGUGAGGCUUCUGAGGCAAACCCGGUUGUCAACCAUAUCCAGUCAGUGGGAGGAAACAGGCGAAGUCCAGGACUGGAUACUGCUUAUUAACCAUGGAAUACAGAAGUUGCACGCAUUACUUCUACUCCUGUUCCAUUGGUGUAUCUGGUCUCCUGACUACAUUUCACUGCAAGGGAUGCUGGGAAGUGUACUCUGAGCCAAGCAGCCAGGAAGAAAAAAAAUGAAUUGAGAAUCCCAUGGCAGACUUGUGAUGGACAUCCCAAUUAUCCUGAUUUGAUCAUUACACGUUGCAUGUAGGUAUCCGAAUAUCACAUAUACCCCAAAAAUAUGUACAACUAUUAUAUAUAAAUAAAAAAAAUUUUAAACAGCACACUUGGCUACAGUCAUCUAUCAAACUAUCUGUCAAUUGUUUAUACAUCUAUUACUAUAUUAAUAAUAAACACCAAUGUGUUAUAUUAAUAUUAAUAAAUUACUACAGUUAAAAACACUGCUUUAAAGCCAUUCUGCCUGGUUAUGACACCUAACUCCACCA